UCAAAUCUCAUUAAUCUAAACUGUUUAUUUCUAAUAUCAAACAGAUGCUGGAGAUAAUUGAAUCGAAGAGGAGAGAUAAAUGAUGAUUUCACAUAUCAUAUUAAAGUAAGGCGAGUGAAAUGAAGGCUUAUGUUCAAGUUAUUGUGUGAUAAAAAUGUAUAAUUAAUACUAAAUAAUAAAUUUUAUAGAAGUAAUGGUUAGACCUAAUUUGUUAUAUGAGGCAAAGUAUUGGUCAGUAAAAAAUACACUUCAAAAUAUGAAGGUGGCAAAAAUGGGGAUGCUCAAUUGAAUAUGUAAGCAUACUAAGAGAGAUAAAACUAAAAAUGAGAUUAUACAAAAUAAGAUUGAAGUGACCUAUAUGUAGCGGAUGAGAUAAAAAAAGCAAAAACAAAAUGGUUCAUACAUGUGAAAAGGAAAAAUGUAUAUACAUGCUCUAGUAAGGAUGUGGUCAUGUGGAGAGGUGGACUCUACUAGAUUUAAGGAGUAGUGUUUGGAUAUAUAUUAUUAAUCAUAUGGUUAGUUACUGUAUUUA